AUGAAUAAAUUUAAGCUUUCGGUUUCUAAAAUAACUCUAGCUCAUGUUUUUCUCAUUAUUCAUAUAAGAAAAAGCUUUACAUCUCUAAACACUUUCUCACACUCUUCCGUCCAGUCGAACUUGGUGGAAUUUUUUAUAGUCGUGAAGAAAUGUAUGGAUUUAUCACCAUCACAUGAUAGAAAUCUGGAUAAGGCGGCUAACCUCCCGGUCAUCUGUUGA